AAGCAAAUAAGGGCGUACGGGGGAUGCCUAGGCUCUCAGAGACGACGAAGGACGUGAUAAGCUGCGAAAAGCCAUGGGGAGGUGCAAAUAACCAUUGAUCCAUGGAUGUCCGAAUGGGGAAACCCGGCCACUUGAAGAGUGGUCGUCGAAAGACGGUAACCCAGGGAACUGAAACAUCUAAGUACCUGGAGGAGAAGAAAACAAUUAGUGAUUCCGCAAGUAGUGGCGAGCGAACGCGGAUUAGCCCAAACCCUAAUGAUUCGUCAUUAGGGGGUUGUAGGACCUGCAUAAAGGUUAAAGACACAAGUGGAAGUAGUUUGGAAAACUACACCGAAGAGGGUGAAAGUCCCGUACACGUAAAGUCGAUAACUGGGCGGGUAUCCUGAGUAAGGCGGGACCGGUGAAAUCCUGUCUGAAUCUACCAGCACCAUCUGGUAAGGCUAAAUACUCCUGAGAGACCGAUAGUGAACCAGUACCGUGAGGGAAAGGUGAAA
rnacentral:rRNA from 1 species